UGUAGCCAGUUGCCUUCAAUGGAUUUUGCCACCGUUUGCCUCUGGCUCUAAGUCUGAAACCUUUACUGAAAGACCAAAUAGAUGUUUGUCAAAAUCCCUGCGUCUGUGUCCAGCUCCUCACCCUCACAGCGCAGAUUAAAACGAUAGCAGCGAUUCAGAACCAUGCCUCCCCGUCCUUGAUCCGCACCCCACUGCAGCCAAGCGACUGUCAGUCAGGAUACCAACCGUCCAGUUCAAAGGUGUCACCAAACAGGAGUCAGCAAGGGCAGCACGAUCCAGCAGAGACUUCCGGCCUCUACUUCCGGGAUGAGUCAUCCGCACAAGUCAUUCCCAUGAGUCAGUAGGAGUGACCAGGACCAGCUGCAAGGCCAGGAGUUCUCUGCAGUGCCUCUCAAUGAAGUGAAGGGGCAUUUUUCUAAAUGGCUUGGUACACAGGUUGCAGAGGAUACCGCGAAGAAAAUCAAUGUUGGUAAGGAGCCAACACAUGGAGAAGUCAACCAAGAGAACUCUGGAGAAAUGGAAUCAAGGAACCCCAGCCUUGUUCUCUACCCUUCCCAUCAACUUCUGAUUAUGUGAGUCUGUAAAUUGUCUUCUUGGAGCAAAACCACCCGGAAUGUCAUAGUUGCUGUGACUUGGGGGAAGGAACCUGUGGUCGGGGAGGGGAAA